UACGGAGGGGGCUAGCGUUGUUCGGAAUUACUGGGCGUAAAGCGCACGUAGGCGGCUUUGUAAGUUAGAGGUGAAAGCCCGGGGGCUCAACCCCGGAAUUGCCUUUAAGACUGCAUCGCUUGAACGUCGGAGAGGUGAGUGGAAUUCCGAGUGUAGAGGUGAAAUUCGUAGAUAUUCGGAAGAACACCCGUGGCGAAGGCGGCUCUCUGGGGACGGUACUGACGCUGAGGCGCGAAAGCGUGGGGAGCAAACAGG
rnacentral:rRNA from 1 species